GGGGUCGACUGGUUUUGACAGCGAGAUUAAUUAAACGGUAAGCACGUGGUGUAAUGAUUUUGAAACACCUUAAAGGCUAAAUCAAACUUUAAACGGCGAAAAUAAUUACGCUUUAGCUGCUUAAUAACUGAAUUAUAGUAAGUUCAAGCCCAGGUACACAAGGUGUACAAGCUAAAUGUCUCUUGAAAGCCUUGGUUUAUGGCGUUCUUAUUAGAGGCAUCGUAAAAAUAAACUAAGAUUAGGUAAUGCUUUGAUACCUUUUCGAGAUUUAAAAGCUAAGCAAUAAGUAGGUAGUUUUUAGCCGGCUUAUUGUCGAAAACCAAAUAAAAACUAAACGUGUAGAAAGCCCUUUAAUUACUUGUUUGGACCCGAGUUCGAAUCUCGGCGACUCCACUU
rnacentral:tmRNA from 1 species